UACGAAGGGGGCUAGCGUUGCUCGGAAUUACUGGGCGUAAAGGGCGCGUAGGCGGGUCGUUUAGUUAGAGGUGAAAGCCCGGGGCUCAACUCCGGAAUUGCCUUUAAGACUGCAUCGCUAGAAUUGUGGAGAGGUAAGUGGAAUUCCGAGUGUAGAGGUGAAAUUCGUAGAUAUUCGGAAGAACACCAGUGGCGAAGGCGACUUACUGGACACAUAUUGACGCUGAGGUGCGAAAGCGUGGGGAGCAAACAGG
rnacentral:rRNA from 1 species